AGCAGCGGUUGAUUUGGGCCGAGACCAACCCACCACCACCCGCGGAGUAGGCGACGGCGGCGAAGCCCACGGCGGAAGCUUCUGGAAGGUUAGUAUGUCCACAGGGACAUUGACAAUGGAUAGAGGAGGGGCAGCAAAACGAGAGGCGUCAUGCGGAACAAUCUAGAAGUGGCGUCUGACACUUGCUGCUUCCAAGGAAUUGGUAUGAGAGGAUCCACAUGGUUCUGACAUUGUAUAGAUAUUUUACAUGGCACACCAUCACUCCUACCAAAGGGAACUAAGCAAGUCGUGAGGACACGAUUUUUUUUGCCAUUUGGCAGCACCUGUGGGUUUAAUUGCUUCAUGGCUUCAUGUUAGGUGACAAGAUUAGAGAAGAUGUUGGCAUUCUACGAGAGGAGAUUAAAGAAUGAAGCUGUGUGAUUAGCAUAUAAUCUAAUGCCAUGGCCGGGUGCAGAAUGUUUUAUUUUAUCAAUCAGAUGUGCCAAGAUCAGGUAGUGCAUUAUUUACCUGAUGAAAUAUUUCGAGUUUAUUUCGCUACGUUUGACUCAGGUUGUUCAAGUUUCAAGAUAUAUACUAUCUUUGCUUGGUUAAAAUUAUUGAUAUAUUUUUCUGU
rnacentral:sRNA from 1 species